UCGGGAAUUUUGGGCAAUGGGCGCAAGCCUGAUCCAGCCAUGCCGCGUGAGUGACGAAGGCCUUAGGGUUGUAAAGCUCUUUUGGCGGGGAAGAUAAUGACGGUACCCGCAGAAUAAGCUCCGGCUAACUUCGUGCCAGCAGCCGCGGUAAUACGAAGGGAGCUAGCGUUGUUCGGAAUCACUGGGCGUAAAGCGCACGUAGGUGGACAUUUAAGUCAGGGGUGAAAGCCCGAGGCUCAACCUCGGAAUUGCCUCUGAUACUGGGUGUCUAGAGUUCGAGAGAGGUGAGUGGAAUUCCUAGUGUAGAGGUGAAAUUCGUAGAUAUUAGGAAGAACACCGGUGGCGAAGGCGGCUCACUGGCUCGAUACUGACACUGAGGUGCGAAAGCGUGGGGAGCAAACAGGAUUAGAUACCCAUGUAGUCCCUGAGCGGGCUGGCAAGGCGCAU
rnacentral:rRNA from 1 species